AUGACCUGUGUGAUUGUUAAGCCAGCCAGGUUGAUGGCUGAAGUGACAUCACCGAUGACCAGCUGUCGUCUGCAUUCUAGUGUUCAAUCAGCACACGGCACAGAGACUAACAGUUCCAGGCCAGGGCUGGAAUGUCACGUGACUGAAGAACAAGGUCGCCAGAGCCAUGAGCUCUACUCAACACACAUGUCCUAUGAUAAGCUACUCGGUGGCCAGGUCAUUGAAGUUCACCGUCUAGACUUUAAAGGGGGAGCUCCAGGAGAGGGAAUUUGUAGAUGGCAUGGAUGGAGCUGAGAAGCAGGGAUGGAAGGCUGCUACAUCGCCAGGAUCUCAGCAAACCAGAAGCAGGAACAUCUGGCGGCAUGUCCUCCGAGGAAGCAGACAAGGGCAACUCCCUAAAUAGGCAGCUGGAGCCUCUGAGUCCCAUGCUGUCCCAGAGAUCAUGGCUUUGUUCACUUGGAGUGCCAUUUGCUCUUUCUCUGCCUCUCUGCAGAACACAUUGAUACAUUUCUCUUUAUUGGGGAGUGGCCUGGGUGUGCCUCUAUUUUUGCACGCUAGAAAGUACCUUCCAAACCUAAGAGACACACAAAGGGGUUAUGUCAUUAACAAGAGGAUUCUUUUCUUGGAGGUGGUCUCAGUACCAGAUGCAGGAACAAGCAGAAUGUGAGGCGAGACAGAUGGGUACUGUCUCAGAGAAUCAGACAACAUUUAUCAGACAAUGUCAUCUGGACUUUCAUGUAAGAGGGUGCCUUACUGGAAGUGAGGGAAGAAAGCCACCCCCCAACAAUCUCUGAGACUAGAUGGAAGCUGUUUUGAGGUACAAUGUUGCCCUGUUUCAAAAGCCAUAUUGAAAAUGCCAGAGAGAACACUGUGACAUAGUUGUCAAAGGGUUGUGACAACUUGCCUCAAAGACCCAAGAAAUAGGUAGGACACUCAGGUCCAUAAUCUGUGACGGUUCACCUUCAUUGUCAACCUGACAAGUUAGAAUCGCCUGAAACCAGUCUUUGGGUAUGACAGAUCCAAAGAGGUUUAACUGGUGACACACCCUGGAGGAGGAAGGAACCGUUAAGUAGGAGAUCAUUAACUGAAUAAAACAAAGACAGUAAAAUAGCGACA
rnacentral:lncRNA from 1 species